UGUAAAAGGAAGAUUUGCAGAAUCAUCUAAAUACCCAUCUGACAGAGAUUCCAUGAUUCAUGUAUUUCUCAAGACAGCCAUACAAUAAAAUUAUAAGAUCAUAAGAAUAUUAAUUCUAUUCUACCUAAUGCAAUACAAGCAUGUGAAAUGGAUGGCAUCUUAUCCUGCUUCAUGUGAUUCCUCAUUUAGAUCUGGACUCUUUACAUCAUUAAGGCUUUUUCUUUGCAGGAAUUUAAAAGCAACCCUAUGAAUAUAACAUUUGUCAAAAAGAGCAAGUGCCGAGCCAGUUGAGAAUAACCUUACAACGUGUACAAGGAUUCCAG